UGUGUUCAGUAAGCACACAUUCGCCAGUUCACAGGGAGUAAUGAAUUAUGAACCUGCAUGGGGGAGCCCGUCCAUCCCCCCACCUGUACCCCCUGCCAUGCCCUGGCCAAUGCCAAAAGUAGAACUGGAUUUGGAUCCUUAUUAGCUGGGUGACCUCAGAUAACCAGAUAUCUCCAGUCUGUGUUGCCAAUUUCUCCGGAAAGGA